AUUGAACGCUGGCGGCAGGCCUAACGCAUGCAAGUCGAGCGGAUGAAGGGAGCUUGCUCCUGGAUUCAGCGGCGGACGGGUGAGUAAUGCCUAGGAAUCUGCCUGGUAGUGGGGGAUAACGUCCGGAAACGGGCGCUAAUACCGCAUACGUCCUGAGGGAGAAAGUGGGGGAUCUUCGGACCUCACGCUAUCAGAUGAGCCUAGGUCGGAUUAGCUAGUUGGUGGGGUAAAGGCCUACCAAGGCGACGAUCCGUAACUGGUCUGAGAGGAUGAUCAGUCACACUGGAACUGAGACACGGUCCAGACUCCUACGGGAGGCAGCAGUGGGGAAUAUUGGACAAUGGGCGAAAGCCUGCUCCAGCCAUGCCGCGUGUGUGAAGAAGGUCUUCGGAUUGUAAAGCACUUUAAGUUGGGAGGAAGGGCAGUAAGUUAAUACCUUGCUGUUUUGACGUUACCAACAGAAUAAGCACCGGCUAACUUCGUG
rnacentral:rRNA from 1 species